UACAGAGGUGCCGAGCGUUAGGCGGAAUCACUGGGCUUAAAGCGUGUGUAGGCGGAUGCCUAAGUACCUUGUGAAAUCCCACGGCUUAACCGUGGAACUGCUCGGUAUACUGGGUGUCUUGAGCCACUUAGGGGUUACCGGAACAAAUGGUGGAGCGGUGAAAUGCGUAGAUAUCAUUUGGAACGCCAAUGGUGAAAACAGGUAACUGGGAGUGUGCUGACGCUGAGACACGAAAGCCAGGGGAGCGAACGG
rnacentral:rRNA from 1 species